GACGAACGCUGGAGGCGUGCUUAACACAUGCAAGUCGAACGAUGAAAUGGAGCUUGCUCCAUGGAUUAGUGGCGAACGGGUGAGUAACACGUGAAUAACCUGCCCUUAAUUUUGGAAUAACCCAGGGAAACCUGGGCUAAUACCGGAUAAGUAAACCUGUGGCAUCACAUGGUUUUGGAAAGUUUUUCGAUUAAGGAUGGAUUCGCGGCCUAUCAGCUUGUUGGUGAGGUAAUGGCUCACCAGGGCGACGACGGGUAGCCGGCUUGAGAGCGUGAACGGCCACACUGGGACGGAGACACGGCCCAGACUCUUACGGGAGGCAGCAGUUGGGAAUAUUGCGCAAUGGACGAAAGUCUGACGCAGCGACGCCUCGUGAGGGACGAAGGUCUUCGGAUUGUAAACCUCUUUCAGCAGGGACGAAGCGAAAGUGACGGUACCUGCAGAAGAAGCACCGGCUAACUAUGUGCCAGCAGCCGCCGUAA
rnacentral:rRNA from 1 species